AGAAGCUUACGGAGAGAUAUAUGGAUUUCAGUAGAGGCACCAACCUACUUCAAAUGGUUCAAAGGCACUUUGAAGAGCAAAAGAUUGAGCAGCUAGAUGUGGCAGAGCUCAAUCAAGUACAACACCAAUUAGAUGCUAUACUCCGCCAAACCAAAACAAAAAAGUCACAGCUAAUGAUGAAAGCUGUCACGGCUCUCCAUGAAAAGGUAUGUCGUCUUUAAUAAUUCUUCUC